AAGCAGGUUUGUGUGGUGGAUAGUAUUACACGUAGGCAGUGUUCGAGUAGACGGAGUCGUCGUGGUUGGGCAUGUGGUAGCGGUUGGUGAACCAGGUGGUGUCCGCGGUGACCUUGUUGCCGUCGUGGUUGCGGUACCAGGCGUAGUGUGCGUGCGUGUGGUUCUUGAUGUCCAGCACGGCGUGGCCGUAGCUGUACUCCCGGAACGCCGAGUAGGCCGGCUGCGGCCAGGUGAGCUCGUCGGCGAGGCCCUCGAUGUUGCCGCCGUCGCCGAUGACGAUGUAUACUGGGGCGCGGCGGUCGGCGACGGGCGUGCACUUGCCGUCGGUGAUGUUGUACUUGAUGUUGGAGUACCGGUGGCUGCGCUCGUAGGCGUGGACGUGGCCGGCGAAGACGAUGUCGACGCGGGCGUCGACGGCCAUCUGCUCGAACUGCACGCGCGUCGGCUCGCCCUCCAUGAAGUGGAAGUUGUUGCUGUUGUACCAGGGCACGUGCGCGCUGAUGAAGAGCCACGGCGUGGUCUCCCGGUCCACGCGCUUCAGCUCCUGCUCCAGCCACUUCCACUGCGGCGUGUACUUGCCGAAGGCCGAGUAGGAGGAGAGCACGAUGAUGUGCGCGGGCCCCAUCUUCACCGAGUACCAGUACGGCUCCGACGAGUCGCUGGCGCGGUACGGCGUCGGGUAGCGGUGGGAGAAGGGCUUGAACGCGACCGUCUCCCCGAUCUCCGGCGCGUAGUCGAUCUCGUGGUUGCCGGCGGUCCAGAUCCAGGGCUGGUACGCGACGCUGCGCUCGGAGAAGCGGCCCCAGGUGUCCCAGCGGUUGUUGUCGUGGAGCGGGUGCUUGUCGGCGUAGGAGAGGUCGCCGACGAAGAGCACGGCGUCGCCGGGGUGCUGCUCGUAGUGGGUGAGCGUGCUGUUGGAGUCGGGCGUCUGGCCGAGGUCGCCGAUGAGACCCAGCCGGAGCGGCGCGCCAGGGCCGGGCGGGGGCGGCGUGGUGAACCAGAAGGUGCGCACCGUGUCGCCGAACCCCAUGGCGUAGUAGUACCGGGUGCCGUGGUCCAGGCCGGUGAGCGUGCAGUGGUGGAUGAAGCCGGAGGUGUAGUUGUAGAAGGUGUAGCGGGUGGUGGUGCCCUCGGCGGCGAGGUCGAGCCUGUCCGCGGCGCGGCCGUACAGGACGGUGCUGUUGCCCUCGGCCUCCACGGUGACCCAGGACACGAGCAUGGCCGUGCCGGUCUGGUCCCCGAGCGUGAUGUGCACCUGUUGCGGCGCGUUGCGGCCCGGCGGCACCGCGAACACGUCCGCGUCCAUCGGCAUGUCGUCGGAGGCCUGGUGCUUCCGCCGGUACGUGCUCGUCACACAGCGACGAGGGUGCGCCGCCUCGCCGACGGAGAAGAGCGCGGCGGCGAGUACUACUACUACUACUACUACCAGCGCCGCCGCAGCGGCGGGCUUCCUUUCCAUGGCGGCCACGCACUAACUGCUACUACUACUACUCGCUGGCUGGCUGCAUGCUAGCUACUGCACUAGUGCUGGCUUUAAGUAGCUAGAGCGGAGGAAGGCAUCAGCAUUCACCAACACAAGCAGCUAGUACAGGCAGGAGAGGGGCAGUAGGAGGCGUGUGGUUGCCUGCGUACCAGACGACGUGGAUCAUCCGCUACCAUGCGCAUCAAGUCGUUUGGAGCCCUGUUCAUGGUGAUUGGCUUCUUGCUAGCUUCCCGUUCAGGUUGAAAUGCAAUUAUCGGUGAUGAUGGUGCAGGUCCUCCGCUGGAGUCAUUUCAUUGGAAGAGAAAAUUAUGCUGCCUCCGAUCCAUCGAUGCAUUCAUUUUUUGAGCUAGCUGGCGCGCCAUCCGUAGCCCCGGCCGAUACGAUAGGUAUAGCUAAUCUCUUCUUGUUCGUACACAAUAUUGUCACGUGGAUAAAAAGUCGGAGUCAGUGCUGCGUCGUCGCUGCCAGGGUGACAGAGAUCUCUCGGCUAGGCUACAUACGUUCUUGGCUCAGCUCUCGUCCUCAUAUCGACCUUUGGCAUCUCUGCGUUUGCACACCCUCGUCCUCAUCGACCUUUGGCAUCUCUGCGUUUGCACACUGUGGACCAGCUGCAGACGACGACAGAUAUGAUGCAAAUCGAGCAGCCUGUGGGUAGUACAUACGUUGGAGGCGGCGGCACAGGAGGUGUCGGCUGUUCCCUACGUCGAGGAGGACCCCGCCAUCCUCGGCUGGGAGGGAGCAAACAGGGGACGAAGGAUUCGGACGACGGCGGCGAUCCACCGGAGAUGAUGGCGUCAAUUCAUCAGUUGCUACGCCGGUGCGGCAUGUUCUGCAGUUUGCGAGUCCUGCGCGCACUGCACUACGCCUGAGCAAAUCUUGUUUGGGCCACGAAUUAUUCGGCCCAGCAUCUAUUAUGCGGCCGAGUUGCCUUCUUCCCUCCCCCUCAGCUUGUCUAUGGGCUGCGGCUUAGGCAGUGUGCGUUACUGUAGCGCGUGCCGGAGCUUAAGUCGGGUAAGUCAAUUUUUUCAGCUCCAUGGGCUUCCCUCGUUUUAGUUUAUUUUUGAACUCAUUUUGUAUUCCGGCUUCACACUGCAGUAGAAAAUAGUGCCGCAUAAUGCCCGACUACUGUAGCGAGAAGCCAAAACUGAAACCGGCUAAACCGUGCGGCCUUCGAAGCCCAUCCCCCACAGGCCCAAUGGGAACCACAUGGCUUGUCGUUUGCGAUAGCAACAUCACCAGCAGCGCCAUAAGACAAGACGUUUUUGGAUGGAUGGAUACCACCCACACCACCAUUCGAGCAGUGGAACCUCACCACCACAAUUGAGCAAGCCUCAUACGGUUUGGAUAUUGAGCAAGCCUCUCGCUACGCCGACGAGUACUCUCCACCAGCGUCGCUGGCUUGCCGUUCUUCGAUCAACAGCAUGAUCUAGCAAAUAGUGCAUGAGUUAUGAGCGUCAUCGAUCUCAUUGUUGCGAGUCUCGCUGAGAGGAUGAGCAUCGUCGAGCCUCGGCACGAGUUCUUUACUCGUUAACGAAAAGUGACGCCGGGAGGCUAUUCCUUGCCCCGUUUACACGGGAGCAAUGCAAGCCUAGUCCAUAUGCUAUUAUACCAGCGAGGCUAGACGGGUUUCAUCGAGAUUUGAGGCAAUAGACGGUUCCAAAAAUUGCCAUCUCAAAAAUAAAAUGAGAUCUUUGGUUAGAUUAGUCCUUUAUCACAUUAAAUAUUUAGAUACUAAUUAGGAGUAUUAAAUAUGGACUAAUUAUAAACGCAAUUGCACACAUAAAGGCUAAUUCGCGAGACAAAUCUAUUAAGCCUAAUUAAUUCAUGAUUAGCACAUACUUAUUGUAGCAUCACAUUGUCAAAUUAUGGACUAAUUAGACUUAAUAGAUUCGUCUCGCGAAUUAGUCUCCAUCUGUGCAAUUGGUUUUAUAAUUAGCCUAAUUAAUAUCUAAACACUCUCGAUAUAACAGAGACUAAACUUUAAUCCGUGUAAUCAAACAAUAACCGGAGAACAACUACAAAUAAGAUUCUGAAUAUGAAGUCAGGAGAUGGUGCUUUUCCCGACGUCGUGGCACGAUAAUCCAGAUUGGAUUGGGCGUGUCUCGAUUGGAUGACCAUCUCCUAGUCCUCCUAACAGCACAGUAGUAGCACACUUGCUAUUGCCACUCUGCCAGCACAAAUCCCUCUAGUUCAAGACCGCAUAGCCGUCGGUGUCACCACUUUACGAGAGUCCACUUGAUCGAUAUAUAGCUCAAGAGUGCUGCACUCAAUUAGCUCCGCCAUGCAGCCACUAAGGUUUCCAAAAUAAUUAUGGUUUCUUAUUUACUUUUGAAAUGUUUAAUCAUCGGAUAAUAUAAGAGCUUGAAAUCUUCUUGUCUGCCCUUAAAGAAGAUGGCAAAUCUGAUAUGAUGCUAAUGAACUGAAUGCCGAUUUUUGAUUUCUUCAAGAUUUCAUUCGAAGUUUGGCCCUUGCACGUCUGCAUUGAAUUGGCUAGCUUUCGUCCAAACACUUUUAUUGCCGAGCAGCCUGACCAACCUUAGCAGUUACUUGCCGCCAGCCUACCACUCCCGCCCAAGGAAAGCCUUCAUCAUCACCAUACACACGCCUCCAAAGGAAUCCUAGAAGCAGAGCCACUCCACUCCACCGAUGGCGACCGCCGCGGCGGCGUUCGCGUCGCAGGUGCUGCGCGGGCGGUGGUUCAUGGCGUACGGCUCCUUCCUCAUCAUGUCCGCGGCCGGCGCCACCUACAUCUUCGCCAUCUACUCCAAGGACAUCAAGUCCACGCUGGGCUACACCCAGGAGCAGCUCAACACCGUCGGCUUCUUCAAGGACGUCGGCGCCAACAUCGGCAUCCACGCCGGCCUCGUCGCCGAGGUAACCCCGCCCUGGCUCGUCCUCGCCGUCGGCGCCGCCAUGAACCUCGGCGGCUACCUCAUGCUCUACCUCUCCGUCGCCGGCCGCGUCCGCCCCGCGCCGCCGCUCUGGCUCGUCUGCCUCUACAUCGCCGUCGGGGCGAAUUCGCAGGCGUUCGCCAACACCGGCGCGCUCGUCACCUGCGUCAAGAACUUCCCCGAGAGCCGCGGCGUCAUGCUUGGUCUCCUCAAGGGGUUUGUCGGGCUCAGCGGCGCCAUCUUCACCCAGCUCUACCUCGCCUUCUACGGCCCCGGCGGCGGCGGCGUCGACACCAAGCCGCUCAUCCUGCUCGUCGGCUGGCUCCCGGCCGCCGUCUCCGUCGCCUUCCUCGGCUCCAUCCGGAUCAUACGCGCGCCGCGGUCGCCCGUCGCGGCGCGCCGGGAGUACCGCGCGUUCUGCGGGUUCCUCUACGUGUCGCUCGCGCUCGCGGCGUUCCUCAUGGUCGCCAUCAUCCUGCAGAAGCGGUUCCGGUUCACCCGCGCCGAGUACGGCGUCUGCGCCGCCGUCGUGUUCGUCAUGCUGCUCCUCCCCCUCGGCAUCGUCCUGCGCGAGGAGGCCGCGCUAUUCAAGUACCACAACAUCACGAACGCGCCCCCGGCGCACGCUGACGCGCCGGUUCUGUCCCCGCCGGUGACCGCGGCCACGAAGCAGGGGACGCAAGAAUCCCCCGCGACGACGACGGCGGGUGCGAGAUUUCUGGCCGCGCUGAGGCCGCCGCCGCGCGGCGAGGACUACACGAUCCUGCAGGCGCUGGUGAGCGUGGACAUGCUGCUGCUGUUCACGGCGACGGUGUUCGGCGUCGGCGGGACGCUGACGGCCAUCGACAACAUGGGCCAGAUCGGCGAGUCGCUGGGGUACCCGCAGCGCAGCGUCGCCACCUUCGUCUCCCUCAUCAGCAUCUGGAACUACCUCGGCCGCGUGGCCGCCGGCUUCGCCUCGGAGGCGCUCCUGGCGCACCACCGCGUCCCGCGGCCGCUGCUGGUGGCAGGCGUGCUCCUCCUCGCCGUGCCGGGACACCUCCUCAUCGCGUUCGGCGUGCCGGGGUCGCUGUACGUGGCGUCGGUGAUGAUCGGAUUCUGCUUCGGGGCGGCGUACCCGAUGAUCCUGGCCAUCAUCUCCGAGCUCUUCGGCCUCAAGUACUACUCCACCCUCUACAACGUCGGGAACGUGGCCAGCCCCGUCGGCUCCUAUAUCCUCAACGUCCGCGUCGCCGGCCGCAUGUACGACCGGGAGGCAGCGCGGCAGGGCGCCGUGGCGGCGGUGGCCGGAAAGGGCGUCACGUGCGCCGGCACGCUCUGCUACAGGGAGUCGUUCCUCGUCGUCGCGGCGGUGACCGUAGGCGCGGCGGCGGUCACGCUGGCUCUGGCGUGGAGGACGCGGAAGUUCUACGCUGGGGACAUCUACGCCAGGUUCAAGGAGGGAACCGCGGGCAAGGGCGCCGCCGAGGAGCCGGUGGCGGAGUCCAAGGAGCAGGCGGAGGUGCAUGGGCGCCGGGGAGGCGUUCAGCGAGAAAGCGACUGAUGGAUGCAAAUGUCGGAUCAAAACAAGUUUUUUUUUUGUCCAGAGAGCAGGUAAGAUUGGAAAUUUUUGUUCGUUUUAUGGUGGGUUUUGGAUUGCGAAUUUUGUAUGACCAGGUGAUAGUUAAUCUCUACAACAAUAUCUUCUCUGCAACUAAAAAAAGGGAGAAGAGACAAAAUUUAAAAAGUUUUUUUUUGAAACGAACCUGGCAGGAGAGCUGCCGAUUAUAUUAAAAAGGAGGAAUCCAGACUGGAUAAGUACAAUGGAUCAAAAAUGAAAUGACAUGAGGCAAAAUUGAGCCAGAAGAAUAAAAUAAAAUAAAGCAACACUAUGAACUCAGUCGCAAUCAGCAUCGCACCAUUAGAGCGGAGAGAUGUUUCGCUCCCGCCAUAAUCCACACGGUGGCCUCGUCUUUGAUCCACUCAAAAAUCAUAUUGACAGAAGACUCCUUGCUGUUAAAUAUUCUCAUAUUCCUUUCCCACCAAAUUAUCCAUGUAACUAGCAUAAUCAAAGUUUGCAUGCCUCUCUUGGAGCAGGAAUUUGCUCCUGCUCUCAUCGACCACCAGUGGUGCAGCGUAUCGGCCUGUUGCCAAGCCCUCGGGUGGAUUGCUGGCGCUGAUAAUCAGUCCGCCACCAUGGCCCAGAUUCUUGUUGUAAUCCGGCAUUCGGCGAAAAGGUGUAGCGCCGAUUCUUGUGAUCUCCGACAUAGUGGGCAGGUAGCUGGAUUCGGCCAUCCCCUUUUCUGAAGUCUGUCAGCAGUCCAAAGGCGAUUUUGGAUUGCGAGCCGAAGGUUUUGCAGCUUCUAGGGGCCCAUAUUUUCCAUAUCAAGCCGUCAAAGUUGGUGGAAGCCGAACCAAUGAACUGUGCGGCGUAAGCGGAUUUUGCGGAGUAGUUACCAUCUGCAGUAAGCUUCCAAAUGAUUUCAUCUUGGACACCCGGGCGUAGGGCUACCUGUUGUACGACUUGCCACAGAAGGAUGUAUUCUCGGAAGUGUUGCACCGAGAAACUACUGUGAUGUAUGUUGAUGUCCCGGAUCCAAGUUCGGUUGUGAAGCGCAUCACGUAAACUCCUGUUCUUUCUUUUUGAAAUGGAGAAAAUACUUGGCGCUACGUCCUUUGGCCUUUGGCCUUGAACCCAGGCACUAUUCCAGAAGGAAGUCUUUGCUCCAUCGCCUACGACGAUGCGUGUACAUGCCGCAAAUAAUUUCCUAUCCGUGUUAUUACACGGAACCUCGGAGCCUACCCAAAGCUUAUCUUCUGCUUUCCACUCAUGCCACAGCCACCUGAGCCUUAGUCCUCUUGCAAAGUUGUAGAUGUUUAAAAUACCUACUCCCCCCAAUCUUGUCGGUCGGGCGGACCUUUGCUAAUUCACUUUGCAUUUCCCCCCUGUUAAUGUCGCCGCCCCUGCCCAAAAGAACUUCUUGCGCUUUGCAUCAAUUUCCUUCAUCACCUCUUUGGGGGCCUCCAUUGCCGACAGGAGGUAUACCGCUUGUGAUGUUAAUACUGAUUUCGUGAGUGCUAGGCGUCCCGCCAUAGUCAUGUUCCUAGCAUUCCACGCAGUGAGUUUGCAGGUCGCCUUGUCUAUGACGUAUUGGAAGUGUACUCUCUUGAGCCUUGACGUCGUUAGUGGAAGUCCAAGAUAUCGCACCGGAAAGGAAGACUGUGUGACUGGAAUGUCUCCAAAUAUGUCGUCCAUAUUAAGCCCUUCGCAUCUUAUAGGCACCACACUAGAUUUCUCGAAAUUUGUUCUCAACCCCGACACUUCACCAAAUCUAGUGAGUAGGUCAGCUAAGGCAAUGACAUCCUGCCUAGUCGGGUUUAGGAAAAUAGCCGUGUCGUCGGUGUACAUGGAUGUUCGGAAAUUGAGGGACCUGCCUCGCAGCUUGGAUAUGAAUCCUCUGUCAGUGGCCUGUUCCAGCAAAGCUCGUAGUGGUUCAAUUGCAAUCACAAAAAGUAAAGGAGAUAAAGGAUCUCCUUGCCGUAGGCCUCUGUUAUGCUUGAUGGGGCUGUUUGGGACCCCAUUGAGAAGGAUCCUAGAUGAAGAUGUGUAGAAUAGAGAGGCGAUCCAAUCCCGCCAACGAAUAGGGAAGCCCAAGCGUUGAAGUAAAUCUAGAAUAUAGUCCCAUCGCACCGAAUCAAACGCUUUGGCGAUGUCAAGCUUAAAGAAUAGUGCUGGAAUUCGUUGUCGAUGGUAGCGACGCGCCAUGUUCCUGAGUCAUAAAAUUAUCGUGGAUGCUCCUUUGCUUGAUGAAAGCCGAUUGAGAAUGUGAUACAAUGUUUUUCAUGUGCGGGGCCAGUCGCAUGGCGAGCACCUUUGUAAUAAUCAUGAUGAAUGAGUGUAUCAAACUUAUCGAUCGGAAGUCAGGGACUGCCUCGGCCCCUUCCUUUUUUGGUAACAACACUACGUUGGAUGUGUUGAUUAAUGGCAGGCUCGUGCAAUGCAAGUUAUGAAAAGCGUUGGCUGCGUUUAUGACGUCGCGCUUUAUAAUCUCCCAGCAGGCCUUAUAAAAUGCUCCAGUGAAGCCAUCUGGUCCGGGCGCCUUGUCCGAUGGUAUGUCGAGUAUUGCACGUUUAAUUUCCUCCUCCGUGAAAGGUUCGGCGAGGGAGCUGAGGUCCAGACUGGGGAGAUUUAUGUUGUCCCAGUUAACGUCCUGUGAUCGUUGUCCUGGUGGCCCCAUCAUCGUAGCGAAGUGGUGUUGAAUUAUGUUUGCUUUUCUUCGUGAUUGAAAGCCCAACUGGACCCUUGCUUUAGUCGCUGAAUGUAGUUUUUCUUCUUCCUUCCGUUAACCCUCCGAUGGAAGUAUUUGGUAUUAGCAUCACCUAAUUUGAUGUUCGUAAUGCGUGAUGCUUGUUUCCGUCUGACCCUUUCAACCACCGCCAGGCCGAGGAUUCUUCGCUUAAGUUUUUGUCGCAGGUUCAAUUCAUCCCUGAUGAGGGUUCUAUGUUCUUGUGCCAUAUCCAAUCUAAGGACGACAUCAGACGCCAUGAGAAGCUGCAUCUUGGCAUCCGGGUAAAAGUUGUGGCUCCAGGCUCUAAGCAUUUGGGAAGUAUCCCGUAACUUGUAGUACAGGCGGUGAAAAGGCUCGUGAUGAGCGCAGGGCUUACUCCAAGCUUCAGUUACUACCUCCUUGAAGCGUGGCAAUCUUGGCCAAAACUCUUCGAACCGGAAUGUCUUUGGCCGUCGUGGUCCACUUUGAUUGGAGAGGAGUAGUGGGCAGUGAUCCGAGUGCGAUGUUGAAAGUGCAUGUAGAGUAUGGGAGGCAAAUAAGGCGUCACCUUCCGUAUUACAGAACACUCGGUCGAGUCGGACAAGCGUCGGAUUUUGUUGCUCAUUGCUCCAUGUGAAGCGGCGGUUCUGCAGUGGAAUUUCCUUGAGCUCACAAUCGCUGAUCGCCUCUCUAAAUAGACUCAUCAGUCUAGUAUUUAGCCUAGAAUUGUUCUUAUCCGCGGCUCUAUAUAUGAGAUUAAAAUCACCCAUUAUAAUCCACGAUGUCCCACUGGGAGGCUUAAGUGUUAGCAUUUCUUGUAAGAAGGCUCUCUUUUGCUCCUGACUGGAUGGUCCGUAGAUAUUUGACAGUCUGAAUGUUUCGCCAUCAUGUAGUGAAAUAGAGGCUGAUAAAUGAAACAUCCCCACAGCAAUCUGUGAGACCUGCACUACCCUCUCAUCCCACAAUAUCAGCAGUCCUCCUCUUGUACCUGAAGCUCCUGUGGCCGGCGCGAAAGCGUUUUUGUUUAACCAGUACCCACCUAAGUAAGACGAAGUGAAGUCAUCUAUCUGUGCAAGCUUGGUUUCCUGGAAGCAUGCAAUGGCGCACGUUGUGUUGGCCACAAUCUGGUGAACUACAUCCCUACGGGCUUGCUGAUUAAGACCCCGUACAUUCCAACAUAAUAUAUCAACGUCGGGGCCGAUCAUUUGAAAUAGCACGUCGCGUCUCAGUGCUCUUCAGGCCGAGGCAUUCUAACCCCUGCUGACGGCCGAAGGACGUACAAAGGGUGUCACAGAGCAACGAAGAUGAUUUGCAAGAUGUCAGAUGCCACAUGUUUUGCAGCUUACAAUUACAACCAUAGUGAAUAAGUCUUGCAACAUAUUGAAAGCAUACAAGAAGUCUUGCAACACACAGCCGCCAUCUUGUCAUGGACACACAAAGGGUAGCACACAGGGACGUUAUCAACAUCCUCAUGGUCGCACACAAAAGUACUGGGAGAGGAGACAGAAACAUGUAAAAUGUAGAGUGCAGCAGGGUGGCCAUCCUGAUUAAGCCACAGGAACCGUGGAUGCCUCCUCCAGCUCACCGGCACCCUCACCGAGGAUUGCCGCCAUGGCAUUGUCGGCGUCCUCCAACUCUUCAUCUUCCAGAUUGAACAUUGCCGUCAUUGCCGCGAUGAUGUCCGCCGGCAGCGCUCCACUGUACAUAUCCAGAUAUUCCUGCAAAGCACGUUCCACCGGCAGAAGAUCGUCAGAGAGAAGGCCAAGUUUGCGGCAGAGAUUCUGCUGCGCUCUCUGGACGGCAUUCAUCGGGCGUGCAUUCGCCAGACGCGAGCUGCGCCGCACUGCAGACAUAUCAAAAGUGCGACGUUUGCGCCUACGGGGGGCCGGGCUUGGUGAACUUGCCUGCUGUGGUGGUGGCGAAGGCAAAGGCAGCACCGGGCGGGGCGGUGUCACGAACAGACUUGCAAUGCCGGGGGAGGCUUGAGUGGUCGGCGCUGUUGGAGUAGCUGCAACCUGUGCGGCAUCAGUUGGAGUAGCAGCAGCCUCCCAAAGCGCCUCUUGGGAUACAACAGUCCCUCCCAGGACAGGCGACGGUGGUGAGUGGCCGGAGACAGGAACGUCCUGGUCGGCCUGAAGCUCCAACUGGCGAAGAGCGAGCUCCACCUCAUCAUGGGAGACGCUUCUGUCAUUGUUGUGGGAGCCAUCAUUUUGAGUCCCCUGCACAUUAGAGGGUACAAUAGAAAUCGCUGCACGAAUCCUGUCAAAAGCAACAGAGACGGGAACAAGAGGAGGCGGAUGCCGGCUUGUGGUCAGCAAUGUGCAUCUAAAUCAAAGCACUAGCUCUCCGCCUGAAACCCACCAAAAUUUAACUGAAAUAGUGAAACCAUGCAUCGAGUUGAGUAUUGCAGAUUUCAUGUUUCUUUGCAGUGACAUUUGUUGGAGUUGGACAAGAACAUUUCGAUAUUCUAAAAAACUUUCCAUGGAUGUGGUCCAAUCUUACAGCUGUUCUUUCGGUUCUACCCUGUCUUCACCAAUUCCCGCCUUGAACUUUGCGUAGAUGUCUCCCGCGUAGAAAUCCCUGGUCCUCCACGCCAGCACCGCCGUCACCACCGCCGCGGCUACGGUCACCGCGGUGAUGACCAAGAACGACUCCUUGUAGCACCGGACGCCAAUGCACGUGACGCCCUUUCCGGCCACGGCGGCCACCGCGCCCUGCCGCGCCGCUUCCCUGUCGUACAUGCGGCCGGCGACGCGCACGUUGAGGAUGUAGGAGCCCACCGGGCUCGCCGUGCCGCAGAAGUUGUACAGCGUCGAGUAGUACUUGAGGCCGAAGAGCUCCGACACGCUGGCGAGGAUAAGCGGCUGCGCGGCGCCGAAGCAGAACCCGAUCAUCACCGACGCCACGUACAGCGACCCCGGCACGCCGAACGCAAUGAGGAGGUGCCCCGGCACGGUCAGGAGGAGCACGGCAGCGAGGAUCAGCGGCCGCGGGAUGCGGUGGCGGGCAAGGAGCGCCUCGGAGGCGAAGCCGGCGGCGACGCGCCCGAGGUAGUUCCAGAUGCUGAUGAGGGAGACGAAGGUGGCGAUGCUGCGCUGCGGGUAACCCAGCGACUCGCCGAUCUGGCCCAUGUUGUCGAUCGCCGUCAGCGUGCCGCCGACGCCGAACACCGUCGCCGUGAACAGGAACAGCAUGUCCACGCUCACCAGCGCCUGCAGGAUCGUGUAGUCCUCGCCGCGCGGCGGCGGCCUCAGCGCGGCGACCAAUCUCGCACCGACCCUCGCGGGCUUCGAGGUGACAGGCAAAGGCUCCGGCAACGGCGCCGGCUUGGCGGCCACGGUCGCCGGGGACGGCUCCGGCGCCUCUGCUCGCGCUUCAUGCGCGUUCCUGAACAGAGCAGACUCCUCGCGCAGGACGAUGGCGAAGGGGACGAGGAGCAUGGAGAGCACGACGGCGGCGCAGACGCCGUACUCGGCGCGGGUGAAGGGGAACCGCUUCUGCAGGAUGAUGGAGACCAUGAGGAACGCCGCGAGCGCGAGCGACACGUAGAGGAACCCGCAGAACGCGCGGUACUCCCGGCGCGCCGCGACGGGUGACCGCGGCGCGCGUAUGAUGCGGAUGGUGCCGAGGAAGGCGACGGAGACUGCGGCCGGGAGCCAGCCGACGAGCAGGAUGAGCGGCUUGGUGUCGACGCCGCCGCCGCCGCCGGGGCCGUAGAAGGCGAGGUAGAGCUGGGUGAAGAUGGCGCCGCUGAGCCCGACGAACCCCUUGAGGAGACCAAGCAUGACGCCGCGGCUCUCGGGGAAGUUCUUGACGCAGGUGACGAGCGCGCCGGUGUUGGCGAACGCCUGCGAGUUGGCUCCGACGGCUAUGUAGAGGCAGACGAGCCAGAGCGGCGGCGCGGGGCGCACGCGGCCGGUGACGGAGAGGUAGAGCAUGAGGUAGCCGCCGAGGUUCAUGGCGGCGCCGACAGCGAGGACGAGCCACGGUGGGGUGACCUCGGCGACGAGGCCGGCGUGGAUGCCGACGUUUGCGCCGACGUCCUUGAAGAAGCCGACGGUGUUGAGCUGCUCCUGCGUGUAGCCCAGCGUGGUCUUGAUGUCCUUGGAGUAGAUGGCGAAGAUGUAGGUGGCGCCGGCCGCGGACAUGAUGAGGAAGGAGCCGUACGCCAUGAACCACCGCCCGCGCAGCACCUGCACCGCGAACGCCGCCGCGGCGGUCGCCAUGGCCGACGACUGCUUGCUUGCGCUGCCUGUCGCGAGCAGAGUGUGCGCUCUUCUGGAUUACUAGUUGCUUACUUAAUGAGUAUAAAUAACAGUUACUGGAAAGGAGUAGUUAGUUCUAAAGUUUGUGGGGGGAGAAAUGCGUGCUGUAUUUGUUGUUUUACCGGAGCAUGCGCAGACCGGUGAGUUGGAAAGUUAAAAGAAGAGAUGAGAUUGAACUUUAGACCAAGAAGUUGGCAUUUGAUACUGUUCUGCUCUUGUUUAUUUCUUAUUAGCCGUAAUAGUAGAAUAAUAUUUGGACAUGCAGUGAUAUUGGUAACCUGUUGCAUUGGCCUAAUAAGCAAUUAAGCAACUAACCUGUGAGUUAACUUGAUAACACAUGGUAGGAAGUUUUAUAGGACUUGGUUUGUAUCUUACUGUUGAUGAUGCACAGCAUCCAACUGGAGUAGUAGACAACAAAAGGGCAGCAUGUAGUUUACUGAAGGAUCGUUUCGUGCGGCUUGAUUCCGGCACAAGGGUCACGGGCAACGACGACUCUGUGUCCUUUUGGAUGCAUGUGUCCUCAGCAAUAUGUACGAUUAUCAGCCACGAUUAGGAUUAUGAGCAUGCAUGGAAAAGACCCUCAAUUGUUGGCCUUGAGGAGGAUUGACUAGCCGGGCAAAUUUCAGUGCAAACAAAUGACAAUCACAAUCACUGUAACUGGAUUUAACUCGAAUUCACAAUCAUAAUCACAAAUCGCUCCUACUGUAGUGAUCAAAUCAAAUGGACGUACGCACGAGAUAAAUAUUUUAUUUGAUUGAUGAUGAUUAAAGUUUGAUUCAAGAGAACCAACAAGAAAUAAUUCAAGUAAAGUUUGAUCCUAAUCCAAGAGCUCAAGUAUUACAAUAAUUAGUUAUUAUUAAUUGUGGAUUGGAGCCGUAGCUUCGAUUCUUCGGCCGGUGACCGGUGUAGAUGAAGCUAGCUAGCUAUCUAUCCGGAGGCCUCGACGACGGCGACCUGCCCUCGGCGCGCGGCGGCAAUCGUUGAGGAUGUCGUCGACGUAGAACUGGCACCUGCUGAUGUCGCUGCCGCUGUGGUUGAUGCAGUCCUGGAAGGCCUGGACGUGGAUCUCGCACGGGCUGCUAGCCGGAGCCGCUGCAGCCGCCGCCGUGGUGGUCUCGUGUGCGCCACGGCCGUGCUGGCGCCCCACAGGCCACAGCCAUCCGUCGGCGAUGGCGGAGGCCACCUUGGAUCUGGCGCGGGGAGCAGAGUGCAAAUCAAUCGGACACGUAAUUAGUUGAUUGAUAGGUAAAUCUGAUAAUAAUCCUUCUUCACACUCGGCUCGAUCCAUGGUAUGCAGGCAAGGCAGAUGAUCUUCUUCUGGAGGAAUGCAAUAGAGUAGACGACCAUGUACGAUACUAUGCCUCGUUUGUUUCCACCUAUAAGCGGCUUAUGUCAUUGGAUACAAACUCCUAAAGUUUAGUAGUGUACUAAAAGUUUAGGAUCCUCAAAUUGCUAGUUCUAAAGUUUAGUACAGAGCUGUUUGGAUGGACUACUAAUCUUUAGGAUCUUAGAGGGAAAAUGUUAUUUUUACCCUCAAUUACUUCUCUAAACUACCCCUGCACUGUUCACGUCAUUAAUGUAUGCGAGGGCAAUAGGGGUAAAGGAGGACUUGGGGACCACUUUUAGAAGAAAUAGGAUCUAUCAGUAGCUCUUGGCCCUCCUAAUGAAAAUGAUCCUCCUAAAGUUUAGGAGUGUACUUUUAGGACCCAUGUUUGGAUACACAAUUCCUAAAUGUGUCCUAAAAGUGGACUCCUAAUCUUUAGGAGGGUGUAUCCAAACAGACCCUUAUUGGUGGAAAUAAGUGAGAAUUCUGCCAAUCACUUUGCUUGUUUCAUCGAUUCUCGUUUAUAUGGUAAGCUUUCAGAGAUUUGAACUACAAGAAAUGAGAAGCGAGAAAAUCUUCACUUAAAUUAUAAUAAAAAAUAACUAGGAAAAGCGUAUCAAACAGCGCUACUACGGGCUAUUUCCACGGCGGCGGUUGCUGCGACACGCAUCGUAACAAUAACUCUUCAGACUCCAGAGCGGGCCGCCCGUUCCUGGGCUCUUGGCCCAACUAGCCCAUUUUCAACCAGCAGCACAGCCUUCUUGCCUGCUUUCCUGCGGCCAGAACGUGGGUGGGCCAAGACCUCAGCAUCAGUCACUCAUGUCCGUGCCAGUCACACACUCUCUCUCUCUGUGUUACUACUUUUCAAAAAAUAAAAAAAAAGUCUCCCUCUGUUUUGUUGGCAGCCGGACAGACAGAGGCACGAAGCCGCACAGCGUGGGACACGGACACGUGACCCGGCACAGUUUUCUUUCUUUCUUUCCUUCCGGGUGGGGAGCCACAUCAGCAUAGACUGUCCAUGCCUCGUCUCGAGCGUUGCACCCGAGCUAUUACUCCUCCGUUCAAAUUUAAUUAUAUUUAGUUUAAAAAAUUAAAAAAACUUACAAUUUUGGAACCGAGGGAGUACAUCGGAGCACUGCUUAAUAUUCUAAUCUCACUGCCGAACCACCUGCAAUUUGGGUUAAUAUUCUAAUCUCACUACCGUCGAAUCUCUCGAAAAGGGAUCACCACUGCAGAUUUUCAUGUGGAGUUGAGCCACGAACUCUUUGACACGCUCAUGAUGCUCAUCUUAUCAGGUACUACAAGGUUAUUCUGAGAUAAAACUGCAGCUGUACUUCUUUUCUUUCUCGCAUGUUGCAUCCCAAUUCCAAAAUGGCUCACCCCUCUUUAUCAAAAAUAAAAAUAAAAAUGGCUCACCCCUGUCGUGUAGAUUCCUCCUCAGCCCUCUUGCUCCAACAAAGAUGUCAAAUUUACACUGCAGUUGAUCAGAAAAUAGCCACCAGGCAGAUAAAAACGCAAAAGAAGAAGAUCAUCUCUAUGCACGACAGUACAUGCUCAUUAGCCAUUAGGUUGCUGGUUCUGUGCAAGAACCACUGUCGUGUAGAUUCCCCCCCUCAGCCAUAUCUUGCUGCAACAAAGAUGUCAAAUUUGCACUGCAACCAGAGUAGGUUGAACCCAGCUGCAGUUGAUCAGAAAAUGGCAACCAGACAGAUAAAAACGCAAAAGAUCAUCUCUAUGUACAACAGAAAUCAACGCUCAUUAGCCAUUAGAGGUUGUUGGUUCUGUGCCAAGAACCACUCUGACUUGCGUUGACCGAGCACAAAAAAAAGAAGGUGAGAAUCUGCACCUUGUCCACCAACACUCCUACACGGUUUGGUUCAUCAUCAUGUAUCUACAAAACUUAUGCUUCCCACCACUCUCAUCCAUCAUGUUGCUCCGGCAUCAGCUACCAAAGUAGUGUAUUACUACUACUCAUCAGCUCAGAGCUCCAGGUGCUGCUCGUAGCACAGCUCGCUCAUGCAGGGAGACAGGAUCUCCUCCUCCAGCAUCUUCAGGACGGCGCUCAUCGAUGGCCGCUGCCCGGGGUCGGCGUCCGUGCACAUCGCAGCAAUGUCUAGAAUGGCUUCCACCGCUUCCACCUCCACGUCACCGCAUCUCUCGUCGAUGAUGUCCUCCAGCCGGUGCUCCCCUGUUAGCGUGUUCAGCUGCACAAAGGCGCAGGUGCACAGUUUUGGGAGUUCAGGUCACCACUUCACCAACAACAACUAUAACCACAGGUAAUAAGUAAAGCAUUUACCCAGCCUACAAUGUUCAGUCCCUUCUUGAUGAAGCAUGCAUCAGUUGGCCUCUUUCCAGUCACCAGCUCCAGCAAAAGCACUCCAAAGCUAUACACGUCCGAUUUCUCAGUAGCAUGCCCGUUCUGCAAGUACUCUGUCACCCAAAGUGUCAAAAUAAGCAUCCAAUUUCACCUUUUUUUAAAAAACAAAAUUUCACUUUCAAUUGGAGCUACACAACAUUACAUUCAAAAAUUUAUGUCUACAAUUACAAUUUUUACCAUUAAAAGAGUAAUGCAGAAAAUUUCUACAGCUCAGUGAAUGAUCAACCUUUUUUUACAAUUCUUGUUUAACUUCUUUUUGGUCUUGUUCGUGUUUCUCUACAACAUGCACUUUCAGUCUUUCAUUUCAGUACAACUAAUAGCAUUCAAUGUUCUUUGAAUAAUGCAGAAAUUCUACAGUUCAGUGAAUGAACAUUUGUUUUUACUGUCCUUGUUUAACUUCUUGUUGGUCGGGAUGUUCUACAAGACACACUUUCAGUCUUAUGUUUCAGUAACAGCUAAUAACUUUCAUCUGUCAGCUCUUAACCUCCAAUUAGAACCGUAUGACUAGUUGAAAAUUUUGCACUGUAGAAAUCAAAACAGUAAUGUCCACCUAGUAAAGUAAGAUAAGUACCUGGUGCUAGGUAUCCAAAUGUACCAGCCACGACAGUGGUAACAUGGGCGCCAUUGUCCACAAGCAGUCUCGCAAGGCCAAAAUCAGAGACACGAGGCUCCAAGCUUCUAUCCAGAAGGAUAUUACUUGCUUUGAUGUCCCUAUGCACAAUCCCAGGUGAGCAAUCAUGGUGCAGAUAUGCCAGACCCCGAGCUGAGCCCAGGGCGAUUUUCAUACGUGCAUUCCAGUUCAAUGGCUGGUCCUCUUGUUCAUCUCCUGCCACAGGUAGAACGGCAUGUCAAAGAAGGCAAUGCACUGGUGCCAGUGAAUUGUUACAGUGAUCAUGCCAAGAGAUGCAUGAUGGUGGGCAUUCUUACCAUGAAGGUAGCAAUCCAAGCUGCCCAGCUCCACAAAAUCGUAUAUGAGUAGCUUCGCUGUGGGGAGUCUGCAGUAGCCACGCAGAUUGACAAGAUUUAUGUGCCUGAUGCUGCCCAAAAUCUCGAGCUCCUUCUCAAAGGUCCUGUCACGACUUUCACGGCUGAGAUCAAUCCUCUUCACAGCAAAUGAUGUGCCAUCAUCCAUUACCAUUUUGUACACUGUGCCAAACCCCCCGCUGCCAACCACAUCCUCUUCAUCAAGCAGCUCCAACCUUCUAAUAAUCUCACUUGUUGAGUACGGAAGGUUCCACUGGUAUGUCACAAGCUUUGCACCUAAAUCAUGGGGGAAAAAAGUAAAAUUAGUUUUCGUGUAGUCAGUCUGGAUAAAACUGUACAACUCUGGUUAGUCACCACAAUCAGCAUCUUUCUAUUUUAUUUCUUUCUUCUUUCUAUUAUAUUUCUUUUUGAGGAGAAACACUACGAAAUUGUGUGUCAUUUUCAUUACCAUCAGGAACACUUUGCUUGUCCAUCUUUACAUAGUUCCCGCCAAUGCUCUUCUUCCUGGACAGCAAGCAAAUCCAUAGGAACCCGAGUACAGCAAUCAAGGCAAGGGCCAAGGUUGACAUUGAACCGAUCACAAUGCCAUUCAGAAAGUGCGAUGUUUUGUUGUUGUUGAUAGGAGAAACACCUAUUUGAAACAGAAAUAAUAAAUAUCAACAGCAGUUAGCCCACACAUGCACUAAAAUUGGUAAAAAAAAAGAGUUAAGAACUGUACUCAAAUAGAAUGGGAGACUUGCCAGCUGAAGAGAGAGGAUCGGAAUGUGGCAGCACAGCAGGAAAGCCGAGGGUUCCACGGCAAGCUCUCUGGAUGGGCAAGCCACAAAGCUCCAGAUUUCCAACAAACCUGCAUCACGUGAACAAAUGCACAACAACAUUAAAUACAGGUAUCCAACGUCAUAAUAGGAAGCACGAAUGAAACAAGGGACAAAGGUUGACGGGACCAAAGCUUACGAGCUGCUUUUGAAGGUUCCGAGGACACCCACAUUUGGGAUCUCUCCGGAGAAGAAAUUAGUGGACAGGUUCCUGGAGAUGGUAAAUGUGCAGCCCUCUCAGUUUUACUUUUACAUCUCCAACAACAAGGGCAUGAGGAAUGCUCAUCAGAAAACUUACAGAAAGCGGAGGUGAGUAAGGCUUCCAAUCGACGCAGGAAUUGUGCCCCUCAACAGGUUGCUCGACAGGUCCCUGCAGUUUCAGCACAUUAUUAGAUCAACAGAAGGCCGUAAAAGCACAAUGAAAGAUUGUAGUGUGAAGAGCAUACAAGAUUGUGAGGUGCACGAGCUCGCCAAUCUCUGAAGGGAUACCACCUUGCAGGUAGUUAGCUCUCAGGUAACUGAACAUAAACAGCAAGAAAAAGGUUCAAUCAUUGAUUUGAACAGCCUGACGAGUUAGCAGAACAAAUCGAGGAAACUAAACUAGUAUAGUUGGGAGUAGCUGCAAAAUCAUACUAGUAGUAGCUUACAUACAUUGCCCUCAGUUCUGUGCAGUUCUUGAUCUCUGCAGGGAUUGGGCCGUGCAAGCUGUUCUGGUGCAGAGCUCUGAAAAGGGAAAGGUCCACCCGUCCGUCCGUCCACAGGCAGCAUAAAUACAUGCACAAGCACAAAGAGAAAAGGACAAUUUCAGUUGGUAUUGGUUCUUUCUAUUUACACAUCUUAACACAAAAGGAAAAAAAAAAGAGCGAGAGAGAAGAAAAGCAUUUGGUCCUAGAAAUGGUGAAGAAAAUCUUACAUCCUCUGCAGCUUGUCCAGCCUCCCGAUGCUUGGUGAAAUGAUGCCCCCAAGCUGCAUGUAUGGGAGAUUUCUGCACCCAAAAGAAGACACACAUUAUUUUACUACUAUUCAGAUGCUGUAAAAAGGAGGGAACAAGGAAUCCAAGAAGAGGGCAUCGGUAGCCGAGCCAUCAUCACACAUUUGACAGUUCAUUCAAAUAAUAACCGAGGGAAGAGGGGGGGGGGGGGGGGGGGGGGGGAGAUUAAAAAUGUNNNNNNNNNNNNNNNNNNNNNNNNNNNNNNNNNNNNNNNNNNNNNNNNNNNNNNNNNNNNNNNNNNNNNNNNNNNNNNNNNNNNNNNNNNNNNNNNNNNNGGAGCAGGAGAUGCCCUCCCAGCCGCAGGGAUUGGGGUCGGAGGGCCUCCAGCUGGUGAGGCGCUGUGCUGUGGCGUUGAAGGCCAGCUUGAGCUCGAGCAGGGCCUCGCCUGCAAGCAAGAAUGAAGCAGGUGAGAGCUGGUUCCGGCAAUGUGGUAAAAAUAAUAAAAAAUGGACAUGGAUUGCAUUGCGGGACUGCAGAUCAGUACCGUCCGGGGUGAGACCCAUGGCGGCCGUGGAGCAGAGGAGGAGGAGGGCGGCCAGAAUGGUGAUGGCGGCGGCGCGCAGGCCCGCCGCACCAUGGCGGCCUCUCCCCUUGUUCCUCCUCCUGCUGCCAAUCUUGUCCAUGGUGGUGGUGGAGAGGGGGGAGGAGUGUUCUUGGCUUUUCUCGGAAGGAUGGCCUGUGGCUUCUUUGGGAGGUUUUGAAGCGAGUGGAGUGGGGAGUGGUGUGUCCGUGUGUGGGAGAAGAGUGAGCUGAGGACUGAGCUGGUACAGUGAGCGAGUCUGCAGCCUUGCUAUUACGAGCCUCUUCUGACCGGAAAAUAAAGAAAAGGCUGUCCGGACGUGCUCCCCGUGACUUGGGCCACUGAUUUGCGGGACCCACCCUCCGUGGACCCAGGUGUCAGGGAGUGGGUCCGCAUAGCACGGACCACGACGGACGCAGGCAGGCGUGCGUACGUGGUCGCGGAGACCCGAGAAGCUAUUGUUGGAUUUUAAAUUAAAAUCCUUGACUAAUCCACUAGCCGUACUAGCACGUAAUCUUGGCAUAAGGUUACUCUUUAAGAAAGGUGUCAUCCAGAAUUUCACGAUACGUGACAAGAUCAUUAAGGAAAAAUAGUUUCAACAUAUGUGAGAGAAGAAAACUUGAUAAACUGUUCAUAAAAUUGUGCAUUGAGAGUUGAGACUGACCUAAGCUCAACUUUUAUGCUACAACGACAUAUUGCUUUACUUCUCCUACCACUCACUGUAGGCAGUAGCAUGUACUCCUGGAAUUUAGUAGUAGUAUAUUUGUAGUAGGAAAAAACCCAUUUUUAACCAUCUAACUAUUUUUGACUAUUUUUGACCAUCGAACCGCAAAAUCAGAAAUCAUUGACCACUCAACUAUCAAAACCGUUCAUAUUUGACCAUCGAGCUGUUUUAUUGGAUGGUUUUGGUGAUGGGAGGCCAUGUGGCGACGGACCCAGCUGCCAACACCUCUCUCUCCUCUCCAUCUCUUUCUUCUAUCCUCUCCCUCUACUCCCACCCGCGCCAACCGCCGCCCUCCCCCACGCCUCCCCUACGCCAGCCGCCGUCGGAGCCCCUCGCUGCAAGCUGCCCGACCCUGCCCAAUGCCCAGAGCUCACGCCGUCGCCCUGGAGCAUAUUGGGAGGAGGGCAUCGUCGCGGUGCAGGGCGUGAGCAGUAGCGGCCCAGGUCAAGCUCAUCCUCGCGGCGCUUGUACCGAAGCCAUGCGUCGAGCACGACGCGCCGGUGCAGGGUCGUCCGUGUGGACGCGCGCGGCCUGCAGUGCCCGCCGGAGCAGUCGCGCGCCGCGAACCGACUGGAACAGCGCGUGCUGCAGCAGGUGCGGGGCUCCUCCGCCCUUCUUGGACUUGUGCUUGGAUGCCGGCGGGUGUGGCGAGAGCGGCGUGGAGGGGUCUUUGGCGGAGAACGCGGAGGCGGGGGUGGGAUCCGGGAGGGAGCUGAGGCGCUUGGAGGCGGCGCACACUUGGGCGAGCUCGGCGAAGCUCCCGACGGGUGGUCGGCAUGGAGGGCAGCGAGAAGGUGACGGUGGGGAGGAGCGGAGGCCAUUCUGGGCGGGUCAACGACUGCGGCGGAUCGGAGGGCUUCGUGCUGGUGAGGGCAGCGUUGGCAGUUGCAGGGCAAGUCGCCCGCCGCCGGCCUUGCCACGCCGCUCCUCCUUGAUGAGGAGGACGACGACGGUGGCGUCCCAUCCCGACCCUGCCAUCCCACUCCAAGGGGGUGUUUGGGACGAGGGGACUAAAUUUUAGUUCCCGUCACAUCGAAGGUUUGGACACUAAUUAGGAGUAUUAAACUAGAUUAAUUACAAAAAUAAUUACACAACCUCUAGACUAAGUCGCGAGAGGAAUCUAUUAAGCCUAAUUAGUCCAUGAUUUGACAAUGUGGUGCUACAGUAACCAUUCGCUAAUGAUGGAUUAAUUAGGCUUAAUAGGUUCGUCUCACGAUUUAACCUAGGGGUUCUGCAAUUAGUUUUGUAAUUAGCUUAUGUUUAGUCCUCCUAGUAUCCGAACAUCCGAUAUGACAAGGCUAAAGUUUAGCCCCUUGUAUCCAAACGCCCCCCAAGACAGAGGUGUGAGGGGGAAGAGCCUGACUUGACAUGUGGGUCCCAUCUGACUCAGCCCAGUGACAUGGCGUCCUAAUCCAAUGUGGGUCCCAUCUGACUCAGCCCAGUGACAUGGCGUCCUAAUCCAAUGUGGCAGUCAAAAUUACAUCGAUCCAGUCAAAAUAGGGCUCAAUGGCUAUUUGUAGAGGGUGUUUAGGAGGAGGGGGCUAAAUUUUAGCCUUCAUCACAUCGAAUGUUUGGACACUAAUUAGGAGUAUUAAACCUAGACUAAUUACAAAACUAAUUACACAACCUCUAGGCUAAAUCGCGAGACGAAUCUAUUAAGCCUAAUUAGUCUAUAAUUUGAUAAUGUGGUGCUACAGUAACCAUUCACUAAUGAUGGAUUAAUUAGGUUUAAUAGAUUCGUCUCGCGAUUUAGCCUAGGGGUUCUGCAAUUAGUUUUGUAAUUAGCUUAUGUUUAGUCCUCAUAAUUAGUAUCCGAACAUCUGAUGUGACAGGGCUAAAGUUUAGCCCCUGGUAUCCAAACGCUCCCGUACACGGUUUAUAGAGGUAAGUGCCAUUUGUACACGGUUUAUAGAGGUAAGUGCUCAUAGAUUUCUAGUUUUCGAGUUUGAUGGUUGAAACCAAACCGAUAGUCAAAAAUGGACUUUUUUUCCUUUGUAGUAUAUGAUAAAUUAUCAUGGUAAAAGUCUUUUGCCAUUCAUACAGUAGGUGUUUGUCUCUACACAUUAUUGUAGGCAGGACUGAUAUCAGGUGAAGCCGUGAAGGAUACCAGGCCAGAAAAACAGGAAUGGCAAGAACAAAUUCCGAAUGAAAACAAAUGUAAAAAACAGCCAGUAUUCGAAUGCAUGCGGCAGUUACAAAUACGUGCCAAAUCAAAUUUAAAGACAGUAUAGUGGCCACAGAGGGAAGGAAACCACAAAACACUCCGAUGCUAUGAUUCGGUUGUGCGUUUGAAUGUGUGCUUGGCAAGUUGGCAACACAACACACACCGUCUUGAAUGUGCUUCAUGAGAUGAGACUCUUGGGAUUGUCAUGUAUGUCGGGACCUGACCUGACCUGACCACUAUCUGCUGCUGCAUGAUGCUUCGUACGGAACGGAUGCCUCCAACCACAAACUAGCCGUUACGUUGAUGCAUGCUGCCAUCGGAAUAUCGAGUCCGACUAGUUUCAAAACGAAAACUCCGAAUUUUUUAACAGAAAGCUAAGGUCCUCGGAACAAAGGAUCUCAAAACGUAGGAAUAGAAAAAAAUAUAGAAAUAGAGUUGCAUGAUAUUUGCAAUCUUACAGGAAUUGAGAAUGCAGGAAAGUUUAUAAUUGUGUGUUUGGAUGCAACGUAGGAAAAACAAAGAAAUGAGAAGAGAGAUAGACACAAAGAAAAGUUUCCAAGUGGUUAGACUUCAUGUUAGAUUUCCUCCAAAAUUCAUAUGGAUUGAGCCAUUCCAUAGAAAUUUUGAAGGAUUAAAAGGUUGGCCAAUUCUUUGUUCAAAUCCUACACGAAUCCUAUGGAACAAAUGGCCACAUAGGAAAAAUUCCUAUAGAAUUCAAAUCCUACAACAUUUCUACAUGAAUCCUAUGUUCCAAAGGGAGCCUAAGAGGUGUCGGGCAUCAUGCGAGAGAUCGGGCUCGGAUGAGAGGUUCGGAGGAGGAAGGAAGGGAGGAGUAAGAAAAUCCUUGAACUCAAAUACUAGACAACAUGCAUCGGACAUCUCUUAAAACCAGACAAAUUAACCCCUUUUACCUAGUCAAAGCAGUUUAGGUGAUUUCGCUGACGUUCCAAUGGGUCUCGCAUGUUAUAAUUGACCUCAGCAGCCAUGUGGCACCCAACUCGUCCAUGUCAGCCCACUGCCACCUAAGCUUCCUCUUUCUAUCUUCUUUCUCCAUCCAAGCCGUCAGCCCAUUGCCACCUAACCUUUCUCUUUCUAUCUUCUCUCUCCAUCCAUGCCGUGCGGGCCCCUCUAUCAUCUUCUACCUCCAGCACACCAAUUUGUUCGCCAUUCCUUGUGGCACGAGCUCUCAAAUACAUGACCUUCCAAGUUCCAAGCACUCCACCGUGCACCUUGUAGAGAACAUGACCCCAUUGGUUCGUAGUUUGUGAUUUUGGCGAUUGAGUGACAACAUAGUUAUCGGGACUAAUUGUUUGUCAAGUAUAUGCCUUGUAGGUUUUCUAGGUCCCAAGUAUGCAAACCAAACCAUAGGCAAGGUCCAAAUCAUGGUAUUCAAGUAUGCAAACCAAACCAUGGCAAUGUCUAAAUCAUGGUAUUAAAGUAUUCAAGCUAGGGUAUUCAAGUGACCAAGCCAUGGCCCAUCGGAGUAAGCAUCGGAGCAAUUGGUCCAACAGGGAAAUCAACUUGAGUUCCAGGAAGCACCGGAUGAUUCGACGGUGGAAAUUUUAGUAGCGUUGGAGCAAUUCUCAGGAAAGGUAGAAAUUGACUUAUAGCAUCGGAUGUUCCGAUGCCCUAUGGAGGUGACCCUCGAACAAAGUAUAUUUACUUUGAGAAGUUCCAGUGAGAUUUUGGCCAGAAAACCAUCAGCACCAGAUGAUGCGAUGGGGCUGUCGGAUGAAUUCUUGAAGAAGUUGGGCUCAGGGGAGCCAACGGCUAGUUGCAUCGGAUGUUCCAAUGCUACCCAAAAAUAGGCCAUCGGAACAUCUGAUAGUAUACUUUAACUAGCCGUUGGAGCCGUGAGCAACGGCUCUUUAAGCUCUUGAGCUAUUUAUACCCCCUCCACUUGGCCAUUUGGAGUUGUUGGAUGAAGUUGAAGUGUGCAGGAGUCCAUUGAAGAGCAAGACACAUCAAAUACAUAUCCAAACCACCAAAAGUGCUUAAGUGAUCCAUCAAAGACUUAGCACAAGCUUAGUAAAAAUGAUUAGUGCUAGUAUAGACCUAGAGAAGAGAGAGUGCAAAAUGUGCCUAUCUUGUGAUCAGGUUCUAGAGUGAACCAAUUUUGUACAAGGUGUGCCGGCGUCUUGAAGGCUUAGUGGCUCACCGGUAAGUCAUGAGCGAAUGACUUUAUGUGUUUAUCGAGUGCUGUUUGUUUGUGCGAAGAAGGCAAUGACUGCACUUUGCUAAUUUUACAGUAUUGCAAAGCGCAUACAAGUAUGUAUUCGUGUGCACUAUUAUGCCACCAGCUUGAAAUAAUUCACUGCCUGCUUCCUGAAACUUGCUGGGUAUUUGUAGAAUCUUCCUUAGGGGUGUUUGGAUACACCUCCUAAAGUUUAGUACCCAUCACAUCGGAUGUUUGGAUACUAAUUAGGAGUAUUAAACAUAUACUAUUUACAAAACCCAUUGCAUAGAUGGAGUCUAAUUCGCGAGAUGAAUCUAUUAAGCCUAAUUAGUCCAUGAUUUGACAAUAUUCUGCUACAAUAAACAUAUGCUAAUCAUGGAUUAAUUAGGCUCAAUAGAUUCGUCUCGCGAAUUAGUAUAGGGUUCUGCAAUUAGUUUUAUAAUUAGCUCAUGUUUAGUCCUUUUAAUUAGCAUCCGAACAUCCGAUGUGACACUCCUAAAGUUUAGCACCUCGUAUCCAAACACCCCCCUAACCUCGAAGAGUCAUCUUCUGUGCACAAAGCAUCGCAAUUGCGAUAAUCAUUUCAAACUACUAAGUUAUUGUUUGAUUGUGGCUGGGUGUCAAACUGACUAUCUUUUUGCAUGUUGAUAGCAUGAAAUCAGUAACAAUUUAAUUGGCUACACCAUGAAGUUAUUGGUCCUUGGGCAUGUAUGAAUAAUUGAUCAGUAGCAACUAGUCAAAAUGCUGAUUGGUCACCGAAGAAGUAAUGCGCUAAAAGGAAGGCACAUUUGAAAUUUUGGCAUGGUCUUCAACUUCCAAUCAUGUUAAGGGAAAGUAAAGCAAGUUAAAAAUAUCAGUAUUAUCUGAAAAAGUAAAAUAUCAAUUCAAUAGAAUAGUCACUUAAGGGAAAAUUUUGUUUUGAAUAUAUGAAAUGGACAUAAUAGAAGAGAAUGGUCACAGAAAUGGCAUAAUAUCUCUCCAGGAUCAGUUAUAAAUAUCAUAGUUGCAGUUGGUAUGCAAAAUGCAGAACUCUCUUCCAAUCACAGGGAGAUAACUGCCAUGAUGUAGCUGUAUUAAUGGGAGAAAGUAUUAAUAUCCCAGCCUCCACAUCCAUUUGAUGCAAAAAUAAAAUAGUAAUAUAUCUCUCAUGAUUAUCAAAUAUAAAUAAAUGUCUGGUACAGAAUUUAUACUGCCUUUAACAACGUGCAUCAGAGCCUGUAUGGUAACUCAGACCUUGAUCAACGAUCAACACAGAAGGAAAAUAGCAUUUCCAUAUUAUGGUUUGGAUGCUGACAGUAAAUGAGGCAAACAUGUCCCAACAAUAGACAGGAUAUGGAAUCAACACUAGAUUAAUUGAAAUGAUUCUAAUGAAAACCCAAACUUUUUAUGCUACUAACCUGGUACUUCAUGUUUUGACAGCUCACUGAUUUCUACAAAUGAAUGGCAUAUUUCCAUGUCUUUGGUUUCAAUAACUUGGCACCUGGUAAUCGUUGAUGUUAGGAUUUAUCAAUAGAAAUCUAGAGUAUAACAUGAAAAAAAGUGUACGUCAAGCAGAUUCGAGUAUGCAUAUUAAAAUAUACAACUACCGAAUUGCAAAGAGAAAAACUCCAGUUUUUUCUGAAACAAAAAACAGAAAUAGUACAUUUUUGUGCAUCCAAAGGCGUGAAGUUAGCAAAAAACAUUAAAAGAAAGGUACCAGACAGUAGGCUCCUGGGACCUUUUAUUAUUCCACAUUUUGUCCUUUAGACAGCAAAAUUCAAUUAAAUUGACAAGUAAAAACCUUCGUUGCAUUGGCAACUUGGCAUCUCUAUUUGGGGUGUAACAUUAGGGAAAUAGAAAAAUAUCAGUUCAAUGCAAAUUGAAAACAAUCUAUAGUCGUGUUCUUAAUUGUCCAAGUGGGGAAGGAUCCCUUGGAUUUUUUAAAUUUCGUAUUGUGCAAGUGCUGAAACCAGCAACCCAUCAUGACAACUGCAUGAAAAAGUAACUUUGUGGGACACUCUUCAUGCUUUUUUAGUGAUUGCUGAGUUCUUUCCACUAUUCCUUGUCAACAAUUUCUGGGCACAGUUCACACCUAGGUAUAGUCUAUUAGACGCAAAUACUAGUAGCAGUUCACAGAAUAAAGAUGAACUGAAGACAGAAGUGGAGGACCAAAGAUACUCUAUUUUGCCUUACAUAUCAUUCUCGUUAAGCAGCUUCUUUAGUAGUCAUAUCUAUUUAGAAAUUCGAAAUGGAUAAUUAAGUAAUACAACUUGACAUGAUUAUACCAAGGCACCAAAAUUCUGUGGUCGUGUGCUGCACCUUUCUCUAAUGUAAAAAUAAUCACACCACGUCAUUCAAACUACUGCAGGGAUGCUUUAAGGCCACUGGUAUAUAUAUUUCUAGAAUGCGGGGUCUCAGGUUGAAGAGGAUAUAAUACACAUGAGCAGAUUUAUGCAUUUGAUGGUGAAACGACAAAUGAGUUUGGUGGGUACCUUCUUUAGGUUGAAAUGUGAAGAUCACGGAGAGAAGCGGCUGAAAUACACAUGAGCAGAUUUAUGCAUUCGUAACGAGCAUCCAAAUCUUUACGAAUGAGGGGCCUGUUCGCUUCAGCUGGCUUAUCAGCUACCAAACAGUGUUUUCCUCUCACAACAAAUCAGCCGUUUCAGCUUUUCAGCCGGCUUAUAAGGCCCUGUUUGGUAACACACCCCUAAACUUUAGUACCUGUCACAUCGGAUGUUUGGAUACUAAUUAGAAGUAUUAAAUAUAGUCUAAUUAUAAAACUAAUUGCACAGAUAGAGUCUAAUUCGCGAGACGAAUCUAUUAAGCCUAAUUAGUCCAUGAUUUGACAAUGUGGUGCUACAGUAACCAUUUGCUAAUGAUGGAUUAAUUAGGCUUAAUAGAUUCAUCUCGUGAAUUAGUAUAGGGGUUCUGCAGUUAGUUUUAUAAUUAGCUCAUGUUUAGUCCUCCUAAUUAGCAUUCGAACAUCCGAUGUGACCCUCCUAAAGUUUAGUACCUCGUAUCCAAACACCCCUUGAGCUGAAGCGAACAUGUCCGAGGUUGUCCAGUCUCUUCUUCAGGGAUGAAGGAAGCGGCUGUAUAGCUGGACAUGAUGUAAUUUGAAGAUCAUGGAGAGAUGAGUAUGCUUGUGGCCCAUCGGGCAAGGAUGCCAGGCUUUUGCAUUCACAAAGACUGAGGCGUUCCAGGGUUGAAAACUCUCCCAAGCAAGAUUCCAGUGAUCUCAACUCUGGGCAUACCGAAAUUAGUAGGCGUUGGAGUCCAUCCAGCUGGCCUGAUAGGAGUUGGAGUUUGCCACACUCCCAAAUUACUAUUUCCCUGAGGGAUGGGGGAAGGUUGAGAACCUCUGACAAGCUUUCGCACCGCUCUAUAUAUAGAUAUUCAAGACAUGGAAGUAGUAAGUGAUCCCGGGCAGCGCUGGGCCCUUGAUUUAAUGUUGGCUCGUCCUGUUGCUCUCCGAAUAUGGACUUAAGCUUAGGACAGCCGCGCAAAUCCAUCGUCUUGAGAGAUGCGGGGACGUUGAAGACCUCUACCAGACUUUCACAAUCCUCUAUGUGUAGAGACUCGAGACGGGGCAGAACUUGGCUCCUUUCUGAUAUUGGUUGGCCAGGAGCAGCUUUCGCGUACCCAAUCAGACCACGGCACUUCUUAAUGGAAAGGUGCCUCAAGGAUACCAAGCUAUGGAACUCUUUUUCCGGCCAGUAGACAAGCGCAUGGUUGAUCUUCUUAAUUUUCAAACGUUGGAGCUGGACAAAACAUGUCCAUAGUGCCAGUGGACUUGAGGGGAACAGAAAGUUGCAGCCACUUAGCUUCAGACUUGUCAGAGGGUAUUUAUUACUGGCGUCCAGCAGCUCAAAGGCACUAUGCCCAGUUGGUAAAGUAGUUUCUGUGAAUUCGACUGAUAACACCAGUUCGGACAAUGAGUUAAUAAAUGUAGGCACUAUUAUUGCUGCCAGUUGGCUGCCAUGUAUUUGUAAUACACCGAGCUUUGGUGCUUCUAUCACCCCCGGUAGAGUUGUCAACUUGGGACAUUUCUUUACAGACAGGGUCUCAAGGUCAGGGAAUCUCUGCUCUUCCAUCAUCCCCAAGCUCUUAAAACUAUCUAAGUCUUCUAACAAGAGCUUCUUUAAGUUUGGAAAUGCUGACCAUGCUGUAACAUCACUAUGGUCAAAUGAUUCUCCCUGAGAUGUAGCUGAUGGUAAUGCUGCCAGUUCGGGGCACUUUUCGAUUGAUAACUCUUCAAGAUAUGGAAAUAUUAUCUGCUGCCCUUGAGUUGCUUCAGCAGCGCCCCCCCACCUCUGAAACUUUGCUAAGCAUUCUAAUUCGAGUACCUUCAGGACUGGAAAUGCCGACCAAAGCUUCCUCUCGUCUUGCUCCUUGUAAUCUCCACAGCACGAUCCUCCGAGAAGUGCUGGCCCUGGUAAUGCUGUAACCUUUCCACAAUUGCUAAUAAACAACCUCUCAAGUUGAGGAAACAUUAUCUGUUCUCCUUGGACCCAGUCAAAUUCCGGCAGUUUGUCCAGCGUAAGCUUCUUCAGAUUAGGAAAGUGAAAGAAUGUACCACCACUGCACAAGCUUUCCAGUUUUUUCAAUCUUUCCAGACGAAGAACUUGUAGAGCUGGUACACUCCCAAGUGGAGGAAGCUUAUGGGACUUGUUACAGUUAGAAAGAUGAAGCUCCACCAUUUUUGUCAGCGUACCCAUCCACGUUGGGAAACUGGUUCCUUGGUAAUGCUCUAUCCUCAGAGCCUCUAGUCCAGGAGGAGCUUCGAGACCCUCCAGCACCUUAUGACAAUGUAGUUUCUCCUCCUGACUACCUGUCCACGUCCAGUUUAAUGACAAUUCCCUGAGCUCCUUUUUAUUUCCAAGAUUGGCCUGUUUUGCAUCUGCUGCAUUUGUCACAUUUUCGAGUUGACUAAGCAGUAGUGGACCACCAAGGUUGUUUAAAUGCUGCAGCUCUGCAAUACUACUGCAAUCAGGGCCUGCACCCACUACAAAAUUUGUAAGUGUUUGCAGGGAAGUGAGAUGUCCAACCUCUGGCGGCAUGCGCUUCAACUCCCAACAUUCGUGAGUGUAGAGGUGACGGAGGGCAGUCAUGUACUUUAUUCCCUUUGGAAGCCGGCCAAGUUUGUGACAGUGCGCCACAUUCAACGUUUGCAGAUUGUACAAAAUGCUGAUAUCUUCCGGAAGUGCCACUAUAUGACUCCACGAGAUAUCAAGAUACCUCAAGAGAUGUAGCUGCUUUGGUUUCAGUAGGAUUGUGCUAUUAUUCUGACAAAGUUGCAAUGCACGCAGAGAGCUGUAUUUUGCGAGAUGCUGCAGGGAACUUUCUAUGCGCUGACCACAUAGUAGUGUUUGCAUAGCUGGAGACCUUAUAUUCAGAGAAUCAUUCAAAACGGCCUCUGGCUUGCCACAUGAUAACAAUAUAUGACGACAAGUGUUCUGAAGAAACUCAUCACUCUGCUUUGGCUUCUCAGUUAUGGUAGCAACUUCUUUGCCCAUGACAGAUAGUGCCACAUCGUGCAUAAGAUCAUGGAUUUUACAUGUACUUGUAGACAAAUACCAAUACACAUCUUCCCAUGCUUUCCCAUUGACUUGCUUCACAUCUUGAAAGAAUGACCUUGAGACCAGCUCACUGAAAAUCUGUUUACCAAUUGUUUCAUGACGAACAUCUUUUUGUUCAGGAAUAAAGUCAUUUGCCAUCCAUAGUUGGAUCAGCAUUUCCACGUUAAUCUCAUGGUCCUUGGGAAACACAGCACAGAAAGCAAAGCACUGCUUCAUGUGUGAUGGCAGGUCAUCGUAACUGAGCUUGAGAAUAGGCAGGAUUUGAUCAUCCUUGUUAUGGGCGAUGCUUUUGCUAAGCACAGCCUUCCAUUCUUCCGUUAUCUUGCCACGUAGUACAGAUCCUAGUGCCUUCGCUGCCAAUGGAGACCCUGCACAUCUCUCAACAACGUCAUCAACCAAGCCAGCUAAAUCAGUUGGUUUUCUCUCUUGCGAAAUGAAUGCUUUAGCCUCAAUAAUUUCCUUGAUGAAUUUAUUGUCCAAAUGUGCAAUGUCAUGUCCUUUAACUGUACCCAUGAGUUGAGCUAUUUUUUUAUCACGGGUUGUCGUUAGUAUGGCGCUACCAACAUCACCAUGUUUAAGACAGACAUUCAGCUUGUUCCACUUGUUAUCAUCCUUAUUCCAGACGUCGUCCAAUACAAGAAGGUACCUGUUACAAAUAAUCAUGCCAUUAGUGCGUUUCUAUUUGAGCACGUCUUUUUCUUAAGUUAUGUGAGAUGUGCAAGUGCCGUGCAUAUCCAGAGGGCAACUUGCCAGUGGUGAGGUAUUGUUGUCUUCUUGAUUUCAAUGCUGGUUGCUGGGACCUCAAAACAAGAGGCGUGGUUAGCUUUUGCAGCUCCUUAGCGUGAGUCGAGGGAGCAGAAAAAGAUGAAAUGUUUUUUUUACUGCUGACCUUUUGAAGAUCUAUUCACCUAAAAUUUUCGAUCAAAUGAUUCUAAAAUUUUCUAUUCACAUGUGAAUGUUCAAGAUCGGAUGUUUUGCCUUAAUUAAAAAAAAUGUUGGAUGUUGCCUUCUAUGUGUACGACUUGACAUGAUGUGUGCGUGUACAUUUUUCAUAGUUUCUUCAAGUGUAUGAAGUUCACUAGCACUAGCAAUUAAAAGUCUAUGUGGAUCUAAGUUUGAAGUUGAAUUUUGUGUAUGUAGUUUGCAUGUGCUUUACUUGUCCUUUUUAAUUAUGUGUUAUUCUCAAGGGCAAUGCACAUAUUUUGAGCGUGUGUGAGGGGAAAAAAACCCGUGUGCGUGUUUGAGAUGAGUGAAUCAACAUCAAUUUAAUAAAUUCUAAAAGUACCUCUUUCCAGCAAGUUUUCUUUGAAGGUUCUGCAAGGCACUCUCCAGGUUGCUCUCAGAAGCGUUGCAGAUCUUAUUGGCAAGGUUACAAACAUCGAAAUCAUCAUCUGACACGCAGACCCACUUCAUUAGUUGGUGGAAAUGCUUCUUCACUUGAGGGUCAUUAUAGAUGAGCUGAGCUAGGGUGGUCUUGCCCAACCCACCCAUUCCAACAAUGGGAACGACCAUCGGAUCCUUAUUGUUAGCUUGUUCUUUGACCAACAUUCUAACAAUCUUUUGCUUCUCUUCAUCUCUGGAUCUGCUGACAAUCUCUGGGUCAACCAUGGUGGAGUCAUUCUCACGCAGAUAAUUUAUCUGAACCUGCGCUUGUGGCUGUUUGUCGAACCCAAAGUUGCGCAUAUGCUCGACAAGGGCCUCAGUAUCGCGCACAAUCUUGCGAAGCUUGUUGCCCAUCUUGUAACGGAACAUGAUGCGGUUGCCCAUCCCGAGCUCGAUGUAGCGCCCCUCUUUCUUGGCUUGACGACGGAGGGCCUCAUAGUUGAAUUCAUCGAAGACUUGGAUGGCCUCGUAUGCCGCCACCUUAAGCUUCUCAAGCCAGGGUCUGAUUGCUUCUCUGGAGGUUGCCUGCUUCUCUGCGUCAGUGAUCUUUUCCAGGAUGGCCGGCAGCAUGACCUUGAGCUUCUCAUGCUGCUCCUCCAUGCCCUCCAUCACCUUGUACUGGUCUAGGAGGUAGCUGGACGCCUUCUCCUUCACCAGGGACAGAAGUGGCCCGACCACCAUGCUGCCCACAAGCUCGGCCAUUGGAGCAGUCAGAGCUCACGAGAACGCACGCUGAGAAAUGAGAACACACUUUGGAGUGGAGAAGAGGAUGGUUUGCGGAAGCGCUUUGGAGGUAAAUGGAGACCAACGCCAAGCACUGACCUUCUUGGGCGCCUAGGCUGACAGAGCAGCAGUAGCAGAGGCGGGGCAGUAGCGGUCGCAGCGGAGGGGCCGGCGGCGUACGGGAAGAGAAGAUAGAGAAGAGGAUAUGUUUCUGCAAGACUUGCAAUGGCAGAAGGAGAAGACUAGCAUGGAAGACUUGUGCUCAGCUCACAACAGGAGCCAUAAAAUAAGCAAAGGAUCAGAAGAUGAUAGACAAGUCCAAGCUAUUUUUAUAAGCUGAUGAUGACAGGUGUGGAUGCUGUUGGCUGUGCUUGUGAAGCUGCAGUGUUUCUGUUCACAUCUUAAGGUAAUACUCCUACUUAAUAGUCACAUCCUGGUUUAGUUAUGCUAAUGAUGGAUUGAUCACUGAACAAACGUGUUUACCGGUGCACAGUGUUCAGGUAGCCAUGUGUGUUCAAAGACCAUAUAAGGUCAUGUUUAGUUUUCCUCAAAAUCCCAAAUUUGACACUAUGCAAAGAAGAUUCCUCAUCACAUUAAACUUGCGAUACAUGCAUGGAGUACUAAAUGUAGAUGAAAUCAAAAACUAAUUGCACAGUUUUGUUGUACUUUGCGAGACGAAUCUUUUGAGCCUAAUUAGUCAAUAUUUGGACAAUAAUUCACAAAUACAAACGAAAUGCUACAGUUGCGCAUUUAUGACAAACUCCCAACUUUGACACUCCCAAAUUUGGAACUAAACAAGGCCUAAAUGUUCUGCAUUCUGGAGCAGCCUUUUGCAUUUCCUCGGGUUGCGCUCACAGGGAAAAAGCGAUACCAUUUAUCUAUUGGUCGAGUCACAGUCUUCCAUUUCUUCCACCCAACUUUGGCACUAUGCAAAAAGAAAAUUCUCCAUCACAUCAAAUUUGCGGUACAUGCAUGGAGUACUAAAUGUAGACGAAAUUAAAAACUAAUUGCACAGUUUUGUUGUACUUUGCGAGACGAAUCUUUUGAGCCUAAUUAGUCAAUAUUUAGACAAUAAUUCACAAAUACAAACGAAACACUACAGUGUCGCAUUUAUGGCAGAAUGCUAAUUUUGCCACUCCCAAAUUAGCAAGUAAACAAGGCCCGAUGACUUGGACAAUAAUGAUGUGUACGGUGUACCUACCACUUUUAUUUCGUCGACAAGGUCUCUUGAAUUUAUUUUAUAAAAUUAUUAAUGUGUUAAAAUUUAACUAGUGCCUCACCUUUUCAAAAUGGCACGAUUUGCUCGGUUCCACGAGCUAAAAUUUAGAUAUCCAAUGUUUAGAUACUAAUUAGGAGUAUUAAACAUUUAGACUAAUUACAGAACCAAUUGCAGUUAAUUCACGAGACGAAUCUAUUAAACCUAAUUAAUUCAUGAUUCACGAGACGAAUCUAUUAAACCUAAUUAAUUCAUGAUUACCAGGUUGCUAAUCCGAAGCAUGACAGUAAGAUCAUUGAUAUAUCCGAACCUGAGAACGCACGCUGAGAAAUGAGAACACAGGGAAACACUUUGGAGUGGAGAAGAGGAGUCUGCGGAAGCGCUUUGGAGACCAACGCCAAGCACUGACCUUCUUGGGGCGCUUAAUUUAUUGGUUGUAUCGAAAGCCGUGAUGAUAUUAUUUUGUAUUACGGCUUUCCAGGUGAACUAUUAUAUACAAGUCGCCUUAAAGCAUCAUUACGGCUUUAGAUAGUAAUAUCAAUAAUAUCAUCACGGCUUUCCAUGUGCCAUCACGAGGGUACAGCCUGGUUCACGCCCG
rnacentral:lncRNA from 1 species